AUCCUGAUUAGUGGUACUAUGACUCUUUCUAGACCUCCUGAUUAGUGGAACUAUGACUCCUUCUAGACCUCCUGAUUAGUGGUACUAUGACUCCUUCUAGACCUCCUGAUUAGUGGAACUAUGACUCCUUCUAGACCUCCUGAUUAGUGGAACUAUGACUCCUUCUAGACCUCCUGAUUAGUGGAACUAUGACUCCUUCUAGACCUCCUGAUUAGUGGAACUAUGACUCCUUCUAGACCUCCUGAUUAGUGGAACUAUGACUCCUUCUAGACCUCCUGAUUAGUGGAACUAUGACUCCUUCUAGACCUCCUGAUUAGUGGAACUAUGACUCCUUCUAGACCUCCUGAUUAGUGGUACUAUGACUCCUCCUAGACCUCCUGAUUAGUGGUACUAUGACUCCUUCUAGACCUCCUGAUUAGUGGAACUAUGAUUCCUU